UGAAGCCAUCGACCAGCGUAACCAGCA
rnacentral:piRNA from 1 species